UUGAUGGCCCACUAGUUUUCCCCGGAGCCGCCGGGUGUUGUGUGGAAGACUCCUGACAUCGACACUGGAGCCGCCACCUGUGCAGCGGAGCGCGCGACGUAUCCAUAACGACCCCCGCCAAAACGCCAGGUGCGGGCCGACUGAAGAGCUGUCCUGUCUGCUGCGCAUGCGCCUUCCCUCUGCUAUGGGCCGUGGUUGCAUGUUUGCCUCCGCUGUUGCCUUAAAAAGAAGAAGUUUUGUUUAUUGUUAUUUAAGGAGCUCCAUGAACGUUUCCCCAGAGCGUAGAGGAUGAUGACUAUGCCGAAGAGGCGGAGGAAAAAGUACAGGCUAAGCGUUGUGCCAACCCGACUCUUUAACAUGCAACAGCAAAACCCAACUCAUUUUCAUCACACUGCCUGUGACUCCGCGAGGUGGACUGAAAACAAAUCACUAUGGGUAAAAAACAAGCAUCAAGUUCAUCAACAGCAGUGGAGAAUGCAAUGGCGUUUCAUAAAAAGGUAGUCUUCUGAAGUAAGAGCGUUUUGUGAAUGAAGGUGAUAAAUCACAAAAGACCAA